CAGUCUCACCAAACUACUGACUCCUCAUUAGAUCAAAUGUUCAAUACAAUGUGUAAUAAAAUGUUAUCAGACCAAUCUAUACUCGGUCUAUACUCGGUCUCCAAUGAUUGUUGUAUUAUUCCUGUUAUUGUGUAACAUCUUGCAGCUCUCAUUCAGUGGCCUCUCGGAGGAGUUUAUGGUGGCAUGAACAAGAGAAGUCCUACAGUACAGAGACUCCAGGGACCAGAAGGUGUCAUCGGCUGGCAUCGAGGUGAGAACAGAGAGGAAAUGGAGAGCAGAGAAAGCAGUGGAGGUGGUAGAGUCAUGUCUAAAGCACAGGGUGCUGGUGGGAAUCACAGCAGCUAAUGGAAGAUUACGAAAUGCGACCAAACUACGAGACUCUGCACACCAACAACCAACUGUGGAGCGGUCACCUCCUGCUGCUGCUGCUGCUCUCUGCUGACCCUCGUCGUCGUCGAUAUAUAAUAAGAGAACUGGAGGGCGGGGACCCGUUCAUUCCCAUGACAAGGUGCUCUCCUCCUCUUCUGUUCAGGUUGCCUUUGUCUUUCAUUUUUAGUUACACAGCAAACUGUUGGUCUGAUGCAGUCUGAGGCCUGUUUCACAAAACAAAGAUAACGGAUUAAGCCAGGGUUUUCCAGUUAACCUGGCUCAGUUUAGCCUUGACUCAGUUUCACGAACACAGUGGCACAUCAGUUACCAUGGAGAUUUAUUGUCUGCAGCUAUUCUGCUCCAGACCAGAAUAACAGCCAGGCUUGAUUUAUCCUGGUGUCUUAUCUGUUCAGUCAGCAGCCACUCAGAUCAUAAACCAGUGUGUUUUUACAGUUAGUCUAUGAUCUUAUGCAUGUAAUUUGCCUUAUUUGUAUUAGCCUGUGUAGCAGUGCAGGUAUUUACAGAUAGCUAGGACCAGUUCCAGGUUCUGAGGAGCAGUUUAUAACUAGCACUCAAGAAUAACAGACCACAGACCAAGAAGUAAGUUUCAACUGCUGGCUUAUUUAUAUAGUAAAGUUAGUAGUACACAUGCACAUUAAUUGGUACCAAUAUCACACAUUUCACACACCAGACAGGAAUUGUGCAUUUAAAUCCCUGGAAACCAUUGAAAAUAAAACCCAAAAUUCUCAGAAAACGUAUUUCUCCCUAUUCUGUUUCACUCUGGUUGGAUCUAAACCUAUUUAAGUUCAGGAGAUUUUUUCAACUUAGGCGCCUUUAAGUUGUAAUUUAGUUUCUUGUUUUUCUUUAAGUUGACUCAGUACUAAGUUCUCAUUUUUAUCUCAGUUAGCCCUUUUCAUGAGCUUAGUUCUCUUUCUCUUUAGUUCACUUAACCAUUAAGUGAAUGAGUUACAGUAACAGAACCUCUUUGUAUCACCAAUUCA